rnacentral:rRNA from 1 species
CCUACGGGAGGCAGCAGUGGGGAAUAUUGGACAAUGGGGGCAACCCUGAUCCAGCCAUGCCGCGUGUGUGAAGAAGGCCCUCGGGUUGUAAAGCACUUUCAGUGAGGAAGAACGCCUGGUGGUUAAUACCCAUCAGGAAAGACAUCACUCACAGAAGAAGCACCGGCUAACUCCGUGCCAGCAGCCGCGGUAACACGGAGGGUGCGAGCGUUAAUCGGAAUUACUGGGCGUAAAGCGCGCGUAGGUGGCUUGAUAAGCCGGUUGUGAAAGCCCCGGGCUCAACCUGGGAACGGCAGCCGGAACUGUCAAGCUAGAGUGCAGGAGAGGACGGUAGAAUUCCCGGUGUAGCGGUGAAAUGCGUAGAGAUCGGGAGGAAUACCAGUGGCGAAGGCGGCCUUCUGGACUGAAACUGACACUGAGGUGCGAAAGCGUGGGUAGCAAACAGGAUUAGAUACCCGUGUAGUC